AAUCAAGAAAGCAAGAAGGAAGAAGAGAAACCACGUGACUCCUCCCUGAGCCCCAGACAGCCCAGGAACUGCCUCCCUGGGAAUGGUGGGAGGGGCUGGACUCUGGAUUGCUCCCUCUGGAUGUGUGGCUCUCCCCUGCAGGAACUCCAAGAACUCCUGGUGCCGCCUGGGCCGAUGCAUUGGACGCCCCAGCCCCUCCGUUCCUGCCCAGCCACUGGGACCGUGUCGAGUGGUGGCACUGCCAGCCCUGCAGUGGGAUGAAGCCUGGAAACUCCCCAGAGCUGAG